rnacentral:misc_RNA from 1 species
UUUGUUAAUACUAUCCCAGCUGAAACUGUAAUUUCCAUUGAAUGUUGCAGACACAGCUUUAAACUAGAAAACCAGACAGGUGAUAAAAAGCAAAAUAAAUAAAUAAAUAAAUAAAUGCUCCUUUGCAUAAAUGAACUGCCAAGAGUACAUUAAAUACGACUUGCUUAUUCUGUAAUCAUCUUCACAAUCUUAAAUCAUGUGGUUGCAUAGUUGUAACUGCACAUUGCAUGGAAAAUGGAUAUUGAAUCUGAUUCUAUAUUUGUCGAC